AGAGCAGUAAAGCCUGCGGCAGAUCCUUGUGGGCCAUUUUGGGAUGUUCCCGGCCCUAAAAAAGGAAUGAAAAUAACGGUUUGCAGGUUUCCAAAUCAAGGCUCUCAAGAACACUAACCUGCACCAUGUUGAAGUUUAAUAGAAUCCAAUUUUGAGACCAAAUCGCCUAAAACCUCAUCAAAAUCGAAGAAUGGGAAAGAAAAAGUUUGGGAAAAACUAUCACAACCCCUACCCCAGAAAAAGUUUCAGCUUUUUUCUGGUGGGGGCCGAUCAUCGAACGGAUAUGUCAAUAGAAAAAAAUCGCGGGAGAUUCAAAAGGUUUACGAAUGUUCAAGCCAUCGGAUUUUGCUAUCAUUUGGUGGGUGUUUAUUUUUUUGGGUUCGUCAUGGAUUAGAAUAUGAAUAGAAAAUGUAAUGCCACUACUAUUGAACGAAUUUUCGGGCUUUUAGCCCUGCUUCCUGACGUUUUGCAAGCACGAGU